AAUGCGUCAAUCUUGACCGUUUAUUUUGCCUCUCCUGAAAAUCGAAAGGUGACGAUUCCAGGAAAUUGCUUACAUCCCCGCGACGAAACUAACAACGUGCGGGGUUUCCUUCCUCUUUCUGUUAUUCUUCCCGCAAAUCGGAUUUUCCUUUGUCGCGAAGUCGACUCUCUUUCUCUUGAUUGUUUUCCCUACCUGCAAUUCCGCCGAUGCAAGAAACAGAACUUCACGAUUUGUCCGACGACGCCGAUUACGCUGCGUCGCAGCAACAGGCAUCAUCCAGCAUAUUGCUGCGGAGCGACAGUAGUAAACAGAGCUCAAAUAGUGAGCCAGACAGCGCCCAGCUAGUUUUUACGAAGGACAAUGUCGCAAUUCAUCCGACUCAAUUUGCUUCCGAAAGGAUUAGUGGAAGACUGAAGUUGAUUAAGCAAGGCUCUUCUCUGUUUAUGUCAUGGAUACCUUAUACAGCGAACAAUUCGAAUGCCAUGCUGUCUGAGAAAGACAGAAACCUUUACACCAUAAGGGCGGUGCCCUUUACUGACAUCAGGUCCAUUCGAAGACAUACUCCUCCACUUGGGUGGCAAUACAUCAUUGCUGUUUUGUCAUCAGGACUUGCAUACCCACCUCUGUACUUUUACAAUGGAGGAGUCAGAGAAUUUCUUGCUACAAUAAAGCAACAUGUUCUUCUUGUAAGAUCUGCAGAAGACACGAAUGUGUUCAUUGUGAAUGAUUUAAAGAAUCCUCUGCAGAGGACAUUGUCGUCAUUGGAGAUGCCCAGGGCUGUUUCUAUUGCUUGUGAACCUUCAAAUAUAUCAGCUAAUGAGUCAACUUUGAAUGAGAACCAAGAGAGGACUGAUAGCGGUGCCAGUGAUGGACAUGCUGCUGUUUCUCAAUAUCAUGGAAGAUCAAGACAUAGAGUUAAUGAUCCUGCCAGAGAUAUUUCUAUUCAAGUUUUGGAGAAGUUCUCUCUUGUGACCAAAUUUGCCCGUGAGACAACUUCACAACUCUUCAGUGAUCAGAGUAAUGGAUUUGGUGCCAUUGAGAGAAGUUUUGAUGAGACUCCUUUUGAUCAUCACAACAAGUCUUCCAGUAUAGGAGAAAAAAUUCCUGAUGAAAGUCCUGUUCCCUCAGAUCCUCUGGAGUUUGAUAAAUUAUCACAAGUAUGGGGAAAACCACGGCAACUGCCUUUAGGUUAUGAUGAGUGGGUUGGGUUCUUGGAUUCUGAAGGGCGAGUAACAGAUUCAGAAGCUUUAAGAAGGAGAAUAUUUUAUGGAGGACUUGACCAUGAGUUGCGGAAUGAGGUUUGGGGAUUUCUGUUGGGGUACUAUUCAUAUGAUUCAACAUAUGCUGAGAGGGAAUAUCUGAAGUCAGUCAAGAAGUCGGAGUACGAGACUAUAAAGAGCCAGUGGCAGAGUAUCCUCCCAGCACAGGCUAGAAGAUUCACAAAAUUCAGAGAGAGGAAAGGCCUAAUUGACAAAGAUGUGGUGAGGACUGACAGAAUUCUUGCUUUCUAUGAUGGGGAUGAUAAUCCAAAUGUGAAUGUUCUACGGGAUAUCCUGUUGACUUAUUCAUUCUACAACUUUGACCUCGGUUAUUGUCAGCCAGGGUAGGAAUAUGUUAAUAGCUAACAUCUUUCUGCACCAAAGUAAUUUAUGGUACCACAAAUCAAGAGUUGAGGUCCCUCAUUUUUCCAACUUCCCAUUACCAUCCCUCCCCAAUCUGACCCUGAAAUUGGGGGGAAAAGGAAAGGUUAAUAAUUGAGAAUUGACAUUCCAUAUGUUUAGGCAAUCUUAUAUUUGUUAUCGUACAGGGUAUGAGUGAUCUUCUUUCCCCGAUAUAUUUUGUAAUGGGUGACGAAUCAGAGGCAUUUUGGUGUUUCGUAGCGCUUAUGGAGCGUCUUGGACCCAACUUCAAUCGUGAUCAAAAUGGCAUGCAUUCUCAACUUUUUGCAUUAUCUAAGUUGGUAGAGUUACUGGAUAGUCCAUUGCAUAAAUAUUUUGAGCAGCA